rnacentral:lncRNA from 1 species
AUUUUGUUAUAGUUUAAUCCCUGAAAAUAGGGAAUCUGAUGUUAGUUAGUGCUCAGACGAGCUAGGUUUUUGUUUAUAGGGAUUUGUGUUAUAUUUAUGUUUUCAUUUACUGCUGUCUCUGUGGUGAAGCUCAACAAUAAAGUACCUGGAAUUAAGUUACUUUUAAAGACUGUGCAUGUUUGUACCCUAGAGGACCGUGCUAUCUGCAACCAAG